rnacentral:rRNA from 1 species
UACGAAGGGGGCUCGCGUUGCUCGGAAUUACUGGGCGUAAAGCGUGCGCAGGCGGUUCGUUAAGUUCGUUGUGAAAGCCCCGGGCUCAACCUGGGAACUGCAAUGGAAACUGGCGGGCUUGAGUGUGGCAGAGAGGGGUGGAAUUCCGCGUGUAGCAGUGAAAUGCGUAGAGAUGCGGAGGAACACCGAUGGCGAAGGCAGCCCCCUGGGCCAACACUGACGCUCAGGCACGAAAGCGUGGGGAUCAAACAAG